rnacentral:lncRNA from 1 species
UGGAAAUGGGGGGGGGGGGAUCAGUGAAAUAGGUGAUGGGGAUUAAAGAAAUACAUCUUGCUGAACACUGGGUGAUUAAAAUAAAAACUUAAAAAAAUAUAAGUAUACCCAGAACCUCAUAACUGUUGUCAUCUCAGGUCCAAGUAUAAUCUUCUCAUAUCUAGGUAAUUGUACUAGCUACUGAACUGGGCAACCUCAUUCUCUUGUUGACCCCUAUAGUCUAUUCUUAGUUACAUACAACAGUGCUCCUUUUAAAAUGUAAACCAAAUCACAUGGAUCCUGCUCAAAGCAUUCCAAUAUUUUUCCUUUUCUUUCAGAGUAAAAGCCGAACAAGUUAUGAAUGUUCCAUUAAGACCAUCAUGAUUUCAAUUCACUUCCUCCUUCUCACUUUUCAUGUUUGUCCUCAUCCUGUAUUCUUUGUCUUUCUCCUCUUGCCCCAUAGACACUAGCUUCUCUGUUGCUUUUUAGCACACAGAUUCCCUCAUCUACAGUGUUAGCAACCGACCUCUUAACCUUAGAUGCUAAUACUAUCUACUCAGCAUGUUCUAGGACCUCAGGCCUUCAUUCAGAUGCCAAUGUAGCAGUGAGGCUGGCCCUGACAUGCGUUUUCAAAUUAUAAACCAACCACUCUCCUGCUUAAUUUUAUUCCACAGAGGUAUCACUAUCUAGUUUACCAUAGGUUAUAAUUCUUUGUUUGCUCUUGGUCUCUAUUCACUGGGAUGUAAGCUUGAAUUUGUAAUGUGUUAUUUAUUUCUAUUAUCCUAGUGUCUUAUGAAAAUAAAUCCUUAAGGAAAGAAAAGAUGGAUAAAACAUCUACAUGUCCCUCCUGGCCAUCUUGUUUCUUUCUCCAUCAAUGAACUUAAUGAAGAUUUUAUAAAUAAAAGAACAGACCCUAGGGAAAAUGGUGAUACUUGUGUCUCACCCAGGAAACAUCUACAGCAAGCUACUCCUUAGACAUUCCAAUCUUCAGCCAAAGCCUCAGAGAAAGACCCACGACAGCUGUGUGCUAGCGCAUAGCAGGUAUGUGCUGCAUCUCAAACACCUCUGCUUCACUUUCUUACCAAUUUUCAAGGACAAAUUUAAUUUGUGGACCCUGCCCUCUUUACCACUAAGGUGACAGAAAUAAAAGAGCCAUUUUCAAGGGAUUUUAAGCCUUC